AUUAAAUUUCCCAUCGCCCAAUAAUUUAUUAAAUGUACCUGUCGACGAUCUCAGAUCUUAUCAGAAGUGACAAAUGUAUAGAAGGAUAACUGGAACCUUGCAAAACAUCAGUAGCAAUUUCGAAGAACUCGAGAACUUUUUUAAUUUCUAUCGCUGCUUUAAUUUCAUAGGGCAAUGAAAUCUUCUCGUACAGUUGGUGUCUCUCCAGAACGUCUUUAAUAAUCGCUGAAAUAACAAAUCUUGAGAUUUGUAAAUUGGUUAAGUGCUCAAUAAACUAUCUAAAUUACCUGUUUUCCAAAAAGCUCGUCAACAUCGUUUGGAUGCUAUUCCAUCGCGUGGGGACGUCGCGCUUGAGAGUAGUGAAUGUUCCCGUGCAAUUUUCAUCCAAAAGCAUCGUGUCAUAUUGAUCGUCAAGUGCAAGAAUUUCCUCUAAAAAAUAUCUCAUUUUUAUUUGUUCAUUUCAGGGAGAUAAAUUAAUUCAAUGCAAGAAUAAAAUAGUACCAGUUUCGGAGGUUUCUUCUCUAGCCUUAAUUUCCGUUGCGGAACUGGAUAGUUCAUCGUAUUUAUAAAGUAGACUCCUGUGAACUGCUCUAAUUUUUUUCAAGAUUUCACUGCAGGUUUUUAAAUCUUCAGUUCCGUUGUCCAAAAAAUCCUUUUUUAUCAAAUUAUGCAUUCCGUGCGCCAAGCAAGGAUGGCGUUGGAGUCCACAUAAUUUUAGUGCUUUUAUUAUGUUGGCACCACCAUCCGUGGUAACUCGGAAUAUUCGCCCGUCCAAGCUGAAAUUUUUCAGAGUUUGUUGAAUAUCAGCUGCAAUCGCCUCGCCAGUAUGAGGAUGGGGAAACGGUGAAGUUCCAAGUGAAAUAUUUUGCAAUUUCCAAAGAUCAUCUAUCCAGUGACAUGUGUAGGUGAUGUAAGAUAUUCUUCUGUAAUUGUCUGUCAACAAUCAAGAGUUAUGGACACGCCAUCUCCGGCUGAGGAUGGGGCAGCUUUAACUUUUCCUAACGUCAGAUUGUACACGUCGUUCAAAGCCGCACUUCCUAUUGUUUGCUCGUCUGGUAACGACCGCGAUGAAUUAGUGAUUCCAUAUUGACAACAAAAAUUCUGGAAUCCAUUUUUUGCGACGGUGUGAAACGGAAGAAGGUCCCUACAGAACCAAAGACAAAUUUCACGCCCCAGUUUCCACUUCUCGUCCGAAGGUUGAGUUGGCCUGGACGUCCCUUCAAAAUACGCUGUCAAUUUUUGCAUUUGCUUCGCAUGGCUUUUAGUUUUCGUGUCAAUUUGGUGGUUUUGUUGCAGGUGCGUGUGCAGAUUUCCAGUGCUUACGUGGCAAGAAUACCUAAAUUAUAUUACAAUCUUGAUUUGUACCUAUCCAAAUUUAAGAUUUAAAUUUUUUUUAAUAAAGGUAAUUGAUUUAAUUUUGGCUUACUCCUUAAAAUUUCCAGAGUCCAGGCAUAAUUUGCAAAACACUUUAGAUUGUUUCUGUAGAAUAACUUCACCAAAAUUGGCAAGUUUGCCAAAAUAUCGCCAUACCUCACUAUUUGGAUUGGAUGAGAGUAGCACUGAUAAUGUCCCUGAUAUUAGCAGAUUUGGCAAAUCCAAAGUGGGGGCGGCCAUUAUGCUAGAUAUUCGAUUAGUUCAAUGUAAAUAUUCCACUGUGCACUUCGACAUUAGACGUACUGGACCAUGUGGAGGAAUUUUCCCACAAUGAUGAGAGCAACUUGAGACUCGUCCCUUUGUCACUUUUUAAUGACUCAACCAAAGCGAACAAAAUUUGCAUUUAUUCCAUAAUUACAAUUUAAUUCGUAAAAUCCGUUGAUGAAUGCAGUAUUUUGUUUAAAAAUACAAAAUUUAAAUUCGAAAAAAUAUUUGUCAUGGAUGGAUAUCAUAUUUUAACUUGCACAUAUUUCUUCCGAUUGGGCUCGAGUUAAAUUUGUUUUCGUUAUUUAAGUCGAUAAACCUGUUUUUGUUAUAAUUUGACCAGCACCCAAAAAUAUUUCAAUUUCUCUGGAAUUUCUUCCGCAAAAUUCCAUCCAGAAUUUUCUUCGGAAGAAAAGAUUCUAGAUUUAUGAUGAAUUUGUACACCACAAUUUUCAUUAAAUUUCCAUCCCAAAAAUAUCCCAGAAAAUUGUUGCAACUCAACCCUAGAAAAUUUCCGUACAAAUUUCAUGUCUAAGAAUCACAUAAAAAUUUGCCCCUCAGAAUUAUAUGAAUCAUUGCGCAAGAAUUUCAUAAGUUUUUUCCUCAAAUCUCUCUUCAGAAAUUUCCCAAAAAUUUGGUCCCCCUGCAAAAUGUCCUCCACCUAAUUUCACUCUGCGUACCUGAAAAUUGUCUCAAAAACUUGUUUGUCAAAAAUUAUUGAUUUGUUCUAGCAAAUAACUUUUUUUGUACGAUAUUUAUCAAAAAAUUAUUCAACCAAAUUCGCAGAAAUUUUGCUACAAAGCUUACCUGAGAAUUUGCCCAGUUUGCCUUCCAUGAAAAUUUUGAGAUUUUAUUGUAAGAAAUUGUAUUUUAUUGUAAUCCUUUUCAAGAAUUUCUUCGAUUAAAUUCUCCCAGGAAUUUUUUCUUAAUUAUGCAAGGAAUUUCUUAACAAAAUUCCGACAGAAUUUCUCCCACAUACUUUCUCAAGGAUUUCCUCCUCAAAAAAUCAGAAAAUAAAUAUCAAAUACAUAUGUAUGUACUAUCAUAUUUACUGCGCAAAAAUUCACCUUAAAUACCCUUAAAUUUAUAUAGCAUACAAUUUGAAAAUAUGCUCUAAAAGUACGCGGAGUACUUUUCGAAUGCGUGUAAGAAUAUCCAAGGUUGAGUCGUGCAUUAUUAACAUCAUCAAUUGUUUUUGGAGUGUAGUGUAAGGGGUAUAUAUACGCAGCACGUGUAUCAUGUAAAUUAUCGGCGUCCGAACCAUAUUUACAUUAUUUUAAAUUUUAUGCCCGGCGGCGCGCCGCGGCGCGCCGGCCGUUUUCAUCGGCGGCGGCGGCGUCAAAAAUUGAGUCGGUGUCGGCGGCGCGCCGGCGUUAAAUCGGCGGCGUGGAGCUCUGGUAUCGGAUCCUUGCGGCGCGACAGCGACGCGGUUAAACGCCAUGGGAAGUUGUCCUACAUUAUGGACAGUUCCGUUGGUGGGGGAAUAUUUGUAAAUGGUUCUUUCCCACUGACUGAGCGAAUAGCCUCCGUGGUAGUAAAUGUUCCCCGCGGGAUCGAUAGAAGAUGUUCCGUGCGACAUGCGCAGUGGCAGCUGGGCGGAGAGUUCCCCUUGAUGGGCAGAUAUGGAAUAUUUCCAUAUUACGUUCUGUUUCAUGACGUUUUCCACUCCUCCAAUUAUGUAGAUGGAGUCGUCCCCGUUGUAGAUGGACGUACUGCUUGAGAGUCUUGUCCAAAGGGUGGAGUUGCAUCGGACAGCGGUCAACUGGCUGGAUACUGUCGGGAUGAAUAUUACAGAAAGGAUUAGUGGGAGUAGAUACAUUUUGGGAAAUGUUAAACCUGUGUUUAGGACACAAUUUAGCGGACUGAUUAAUUUAAUUGGGUGACGACUAAGAUAUAUUAUUUAGUCAGAUUUUUACUAUCAGAGUCAUGGGAUAGUGAUGAAUCGAUAUCAUUUUGAAGUUGGAAUUAUCUAAUCAAUGAUAAGAUAUCGAGGUAUGAGUAGGACCUGUCGAGGUAGUGUUGCGUGCAAAAAGUUGUACCGUGUCAACAAAUUAUGUCACAAUUUAUAUCACUUAAUCCUUUAGAAUGGAGGACAAAUUUAUCAUGUACGAAUUAAAUAUGAUGAUGCAAUAAGAAUUCAUGUCAUCAGAAUUUUCUAAAUGAAAUAUUUGGGGCUUCCUGUAAAGUAAAAAUUGUAUGGUCCGAUAUUAAGCAGAAUUGUCUGAAUUCAUCUAAUUAUAUCAUGUAUUGUAUAGGUGUGCAAUGGUAUCAAUAUGGAAAAACGUUUUUAGUUUAGUUUUUUGUGCUAGAUGUAUAAAUCUAGCAAUAAGUGUACAUUCUAAACAAUAUCGAUACGAGAUAUGAUGUCAAAUUUCGAAAUUGUUUACCGUUUUCCAUAAAAAUACGAGUGAAACAUAUAAUAAUAAUUUCAAAAAUGUUAUAAAAAAAUUUUGCACGGUCAAAUGUAAUAAGUAUCUCAGUUAGGAAUCCUACCAAAUGGACGAACGCCAAACAAUGUUAACCAAGCACUCAAUUAAUCGUAAAUGAUGAAAAAUUACUGCGUGCGAUGUCUACCUCGAGCAUGGAUAAAUAUGUAAAGGAAAGAAUGCUUUAUUUGGGUUGAAUAAAAUUACAUUGCUGUCGUUUUAAGAAAUUGAGACCGGGGUAGCCGAUUACAUAUGUACAAGAAAAAUAAAAUAUACCUUACACCAUUCAAGCUUUAAUUAAAGUUGGAAGGAUGGAGAAUGUAUUAUUUUCUCUAAAUAUAUUCUAUACAUAUUCUAUUCACUAUAAUAUGUACAGGCGAUUUGAGUAGAUUUUCCUUUAUCGUAUCCAUUCAGCUGUUGGAGGUGUGGAUAGGGUUGAAAAUAAGAGAGCAGGAUUGUCAGCACCUUACAGGCUAACGGCCCUUAGUUAUCUCACCUAGAGUGGAACAGAACACCGUUCUUUCUGGGUUCUUUCUGCUUCGGAUAGGAUGAAAAACAAAAACAGCGGCCACAGAAACAACAGGGACUUCAUCGUCAUAGUAGAAGGUGCCAUUGUAUACGCGGCAGAUUUCAUCCACGGUGCAAAAACUACAAUGGGACGGACACUGGAAUUCCGAGGGUUCGGUGGUGGAUGGAAAUGAACUCUCGAGUGUUGCACAAUUAAUGUGGGAGAAGACAGAGAAAAAUAUGAGAAAGUGUACCCCACAGAACAUUUUUGUAUAAUUUUGUAUGAUCAGCAGUUGAACAUAUAAUGAAUAAAAUUAUUUGGCUAUAA